CAGUGUGGAAAAUGGCUAUGCAUUUUCUGGACCCUCUUGUCAUUCAUUCUUUAGGUUCCAAGUGUAACAUUAGUCUCACCCUAGUCAGUUCUUCUCAUCAUGUUAUCUUCUAGGCCUAGCACAGGAUAUAUGGAAAAUUUUGUUUAAGGCACUUCAACCUGAGGGUUCAUACCUUUCAAUUUAGGAAAAUGUUCUACUGGUCAUCUUCUUCUAUUUUGUCUCCCUCAGAAUACCUAUUAGAGCAUAUGCUGAAGACCACAUGAGGUGGACUGCACAGCUAUUGGAUUCUUGAACCUUUCAUUGGUAGACAGCCAUUAUUGGACUAGCUGGACUACAGACUGCUGUUCCAGUCCUAAUAGCAGCUGGAGCUUCUGAAGGCCACAGUAACCAUCCAGUUCCUUUCAUGGAAAAUACCAAAUUGGGACUAUGGAAGAAAAGCUGCUGGCUGACCAGCUGCUUACACUUGGAAAAUAACAGCACAAGGCUCCUGGUACCAAAUUUACUAAGAGUUUCAAGACUGUUAUAUCAAAACAUUAACUGAAGCAUGGAGCAUGUCAGGACAUUGUAGGCAUAAGGUUAUUGGUAAUUCAAAUGCUGACUUCUUUAUCCCCCCGUAUCUGUUUGUAAGCCUUGUUCUGAGAAUCUCAGUCUCAAUGUUUGUAUAAACUCUGUCCCCCAAUGGUCCCCUGAAAUGUCAAUAAAGCAGCUUACAGCCAAUCACUGAGCAGGGAAGAGAAUAGGGCUGGACUUCCUGUCAGCCAGGGGAGGAUGAGUUAGAGGAGAGGAAGCAGGGAAUUCAGCCAAGGGAUUCAGCCAUGGGCAGAGGUCCAAGAGACACCAGGAGAGAGAGCUCAUGGGCAAAGCUACAAAGUGCAAGUACCCUGGGAGGAAGCCAAAUUAGCUUAGAGGGUUAAGAGUAGAGUAAUAACAGUUCAGUUAUUGUGUUCUGAAGCUUAUUAUUAAACAAAUAUAAGAGUCUCAAUUAUUUAUAUGAUAACCGGGUUAAGAGAGAAACAAAGCUUUUUUAAAAAGUUAUGUAAGAGUAACUAUAACAGGGAAUGGUCAGGGAAACUGCAUGAUCUGCAGACCCAUGAGCCUCUCACCCUGCCUUGUUUGAAAUCUGUCUUUUAUA